GCUCAACCGUGGAGGGUCAUUGGAAACUGGGAAACUUGAGUGCAGAAGAGGAAAGUGGAAUUCCAUGUGUAGCGGUGAAAUGCGCAGAGAUAUGGAGGAACACCAGUGGCGAAGGCGACUUUCUGGUCUGUAACUGACGCUGAUGUGCGAAAGCGUGGGGAUCAAACAGGAUUAGAUACCCUGGUAGUCCACGCCGUAAACGAUGAGUGCUAAGUGUUAGGGGGUUUCCGCCCCUUAGUGCUGCAGCUAACGCAUUAAGCACUCCGCCUGGGGAGUACGACCGCAAGGUUGAAACUCAAAGGGAUUGACGGGGACCCGCACAAGCGGUGGAGCAUGUGGUUUAAUUCGAAGCAACGCGAAGAACCUUACCAAAUCUUGACAUCCUUUGAAAACUCUAGAGAUAGAGCCUUCCCCUUCGGGGGACAAAGUGACAGGUGGUGCAUGGUUGUCGUCAGCUCGUGUCGUGAGAUGUUGGGUUAAGUCCCGCAACGAGCGCAACCCUUAAGCUUAGUUGCCAUCAUUAAGUUGGGCACUCUAGGUUGACUGCCGGUGACAAACCGGAGGAAGGUGGGGAUGACGUCAAAUCAUCAUGCCCCUUAUGAUUUGGGCUACACACGUGCUACAAUGGACAAUACAAAG
rnacentral:rRNA from 1 species